rnacentral:rRNA from 1 species
UACGGGGGGAGCAAGCGUUGUUCGGAUUUACUGGGCGUAAAGGGCGCGUAGGCGGCCACCGCAAGUCGACUGUGAAAUCUCCGGGCUUAACCCGGAAAGGUCAGCCGAUACUGCGGGGCUAGAGUGCAGAAGGGGCAACUGGAAUUCUCGGUGUAGCGGUGAAAUGCGUAGAUAUCGAGAGGAACACCUGCGGCGAAGGCGGGUGGCUGGGCUGACACUGACGCUGAGGCGCGAAAGCGAGGGGAGCGAACGGG